CCGAGUGGGCGAAUGCCAGACCAAUGA
rnacentral:piRNA from 1 species